CUCAGAAUGUAUUUAAAAGAAAAGGUUUUUAUUAUCAGGAACCACGAGAAAGCACAUGCUGAUGAUGAGGUGAUAAAAUUGUUGCAAGCAAUAAUUAACGUUACAAUAGCUAAUAUGAAAGCAGCUACAAAAAGGAGGCUGGAACAACCUGUCCCAAGCAUUGAAUAAAAUGGGUUAUCCCUGCAGGAAACUUUGGCCUUCUUCUUUCUUUAGGGCCACAAGCAAUAAUGUCUAUGAUUAUUGGGGUGUUCAAGCGAGCACCAGCAGCUUUCUACGCAUUUUGGUAUAAAAGACUUCGGAAGGGGGAUAAUAUUAAGUGGUAUAACUGCCUAACUAUUCAUUAACAUGGCCAGACAGAGAAAUGUGCUGUUACUUUUUGCAGGUACUGUUCUUUAAUGGCAGUAUGGCACUUCCAUUGAUUUGGACUCUCAUGUUUUAUAUCCAUCAUCAAUAUAGCUGGCAAUUUAAUUACAUGAAAAAACAUAUCAUGCAUCAUCAGCAUAAUUUCUACCACUCACCUCCAUUGAGAAGAGAACAUUGAUCCAAGAUCGAAGCAGUUUUUUCCAAGAGAUCUAUAUAUAUUCGUUCAGUCUUUCAGACCAUGUGUAGUCAUAAGCUGUAGAAGUCAAUAAGUUUCUCAAGCAAUGGGUGUUUAUCAUUUUAUGUAUGACCCUUUCACAAGUGUAGUUUCAGGCAGAAUGGCUUAGCGGAAGAUUUCUUUUUGUCAUUAAAUUUUCAUUUUUAUAAAUACUUACAUCAAGAUCAAA